AUGGCAAUCAUUAACGCAGCUGGUCAGAGCGUCCGCCUCGGAUGCGGGAGGUCGUGGGUUCGAUACCCGGUCGAGACAUA